GGGUUUAAGAGUCCUAUUUGAGUAAUCUAAAAACACAAACCAAAGCACAGGAUUCAGAAUAAAUCACUGUGUUUGACAAUAUUUCCCUGUGUACAUGACCCAAGAUUCGAGUAUUGAGUAGGACACAGAAGAGGGUUAAAUUAAGUGCCCUGAUUAUUCUAGGGUGACCAUUUUCUGAUUCCCCAAAAAGAGGACACAACUACAUGGAGGCGGAGUCACAGGGUCAUGUGUAGUAAAUUUUGAGUUUUUUGGGUCGCAUCAAGUGUUUUUUUACCUGCUUGUAACUCAGUAAGUCCUCAGAACACAAACUCAAAACUCCCAUACAAAACUCUGGACAUUUGAAGGAUUGUCCAGGGGCUGUCCGACAAGGCCAGACAGUCCCCCUAAAAGAGGAUGUACGGUCACCUUAAUUAUUCAUCAGUGCGUCUUGGGUGAUGGGAGUAUCACCAUGCACUAAAUAUCUAAAAGAAUAUGUUUUGCUGUCAGAUAGCUGUAUUCUUUACUUGGUGCAUAAUGGAUACUGUUCAACAUGGAUGGAUGGGCUUACAAAAGAAUUGUAUUAGAAAAAAAAAACUAUCAUUGAGUUUGUAUCUUUAAUGCUUUAAUGCAUUGGUGUGUCUGUUACUAUCACAGCAUGCACCUCCUGGCCAUCAGCUGUCCUGGUCUAAAUGGAGACUGAUGAUUAUUUAUUUGGUUCUCCACUUUUUUCUCCAACUCUGAAUAGUAGUUUGCCUGUUCAACAAACAUCCCCUUGGCGUUUUUUACCCUUUUUUACUACUUUGAAGUUAGUGUCCUGAGUCCACAUCAGAUUAAUUAUUCUAUUAUAAGCUCCUUUACUGCAGUACUCCUGAUGAUAUAUUGUCCCAAAUGAAUAAACUAGUUUUGAAAGGGAAACAGAUCUGAGGUUAAAUCAAUGCCAAGCUCCCGCCUGUCCUUCCAACUGUCAGAGUUUCAUAAUUAGCUGUCACACCAUUGACUAGUCGGAUGGCUUAUUGAUUUUGAUCGGCUUUUGUUCCCAUGGGUUUCUCUAAAAGUGCUUCUUGAAUAUCUAAACAUCUCUGGCUCUCUCUCUUUGUCCAAUUGGCCUAACUCCCCUCAACAUCAACAACAACGCCAACUCCAGAGGCUGAUUGGCCGUUUGGCAGACAGCUGUCUUGAUGCGAAAAAAAAGUCUUUGUAGUCGCUGGUUACUCCAUGUUAAUGUGUGUGUGUGUGUGUGUGUGUGGAGAUAUAGAAAAGUGAAACUAAACUCAACUACAAUGUUUAUAACAGAUAUGAGGCCUUUUCAUAAUGUCCCCACAAUGGUUCAAAUGCAUAAGUAAUUGCAAUAAUGGUACUGAUAUUGUUUGAUGUAAGGACUGGGGUGUGUUUGCAGUUGCAUGGAAGCUUCAAGUGUGGAUAGACAAAGUGACAUCCAGCCAACCUGGGGGCAAACCAAGACUCAUUUGCAUGAGUGAUGAUAUGGUCAGUCCUCAUCUACAGAUGGUAAGAAGAUUCUGACACCCACCAGAAUUUUACCCUCUAGAAUUUGUUCUUUGCACAUUUAAGGACGAACACAACUGUGUAAAAUAUUUGCGUUUGAGAGCUGUCCUGUGAGACAUUGAAUGAUGUCAGUCAAUGUCUGAUGAAAUCGAUAAUCUAUAUACUUUCCUUCAUUCCACCUCUCUACUUUGUGUGAACCCAUGCAGGGCAGCUGCGACUCAGUGGUAGUCAGUCAUCUCCAAACUGGAAUGUAAGGGGUUUGAUCUCAGGUCCAUCUUUGGUUACUGUUGCUUAGUUAUUUUCAUUUGGUUUAGUUAAGGGCUGAUGGGAUAUACUGGUAGGCCUGUUGAUGAUAACAGUAAAUUAUAUACUGAUAUUGUGCAAAAAUUAAGCAGGCAGCAAUACUGUAUCAGUGGUCCUGAAGCUAGUUGUCACACGUCAUUAACAGAGGAUAGAGGAAGAUGAAGUGGUGGUCUGCUUGUGAGCUAGCUGAAACAGCCCUCUGAGAGAAUUAAAGAGACCUUUUAAGCUGAUGUUCAAGAUUUUUGUGAGUCUAAAAAUAACAUGAAAGCUUGUACCUCUAUGGUUUACUAAUCAGCUCAAUAUUUACCCUUUUUGAUCAUUGUUUAAAUGUUUUCACACAGUUCUGUCUGUUCUUAUCUCAGUUUGACUGAGUAUGGAAGUGGAGUAUGAGUAUGUUGUGUUGCUUUCAAGUUUAUCACAAUUAUUUUAAAAAUACAAUUUAUGAAACCCACGCAGUGAUGAUCAGAUAUUUUGUAUUUAUCCACCAGUAAAAAAGAACCAACUUGCAAAAUUUCAAUUUUAUUGUUGUCACCUUUUCUUGUUUCAAACAAGUCUAAGUACAUCUAAAUGGAGUAGAUCGCAUGAAAUUGGUACUAUGUUUAAUUCCCUUAAGCUCUUAAAAGAACAGCAGGAAAAAUACCAAUUCAGGAUGUUCAGUUGUGGUACUCAUGCUGUUUACUCUCAUCUCCACGGAGUAUCAAAGAUUUCCUGUGUUGAAGUAUUCACUAAUGAACUAUCAUCUUCUCUGGAGCCUUCUCAAUGUAGCUGCACACUCACUCAGAUUACCUUAUUAUCAUUCUCAUCACAAACUUGUCAUUAAAUCCUUGCCCUCCUACUCCCGCUUCCUCUCUGAUGUACUUCAGUUUUUUCUGCUUCAUGUUGACCCGUUGAUCUCAGUGAUGAACUCAGCUGUUGCUCUUUUUAUUCAGUGUGUUGUUCAGUGAAAUGAGCAGAUUAUUGUGCUUAUUAGUGUUUGCAGAUUUAAAAUUAUGGGUUAAUGGAGUUUUGUUACUGUGUGCUGGUAAUUUUUUCUUAAUGAUAAGUUGGUUUUAUUGUACAAAAGAGUUAAAAGAUCAUUUUUGCAUGAACCUGAUUUAAUGAUGACAGUUGAGUGGCUCUGAGUGUAGAGUGAAAAAGGAUGAAUUAAGUAUACUAAUAAAGGGAUACUGAACUAGAGCACAGUGAAAAUGACUGAUUUUUGAAAAUCAGUCAUUUGACGGCCUUACUGUGGUUCACUUGUGUAAGUAGAGACAUUUUUUUAUCGAAAUAAAAAAAUUAAUGUUGAAAUGGUAAGUAAUCAUGGAAUGACGUCACAUUUUAUCAGUGCACUCUACAUGGAAAUAAAAGAUUAUAAUGAGGCCUCCUUCACUGUGAAUGUAAGGCAUAGAGGUCUUAGUCAGCACAUUUUUAUAGUCAAACUCCGAGAAAACAUCAUACACCACCAAAUUCACUAGAUGUAAAGUGCAAUGGAUUUGUUGUGCACAGGGCUCCUGUUCCUGUAUGCAACAUUGUAAACCCGCCCCCAAGCCUAGAUUUUAAACAACAAAACAGAAGCAGACUCCUGCUCUUUGACUGUGGUGUCAGUUUCAUCUAUUAUCAAAUUACUGUUCUCUGCAUAUCAUGGGUAACAAUUCUAGUCAUUUCAUUUGGGAUUUUAUAAGAGAGACACGUGCCUUCCCUACAAAUAAGCUACAAGAGUAACUCUAGUAAACCUGAAGUUUAACAGCUGGGUCAAGUUGGACCCCUCAUCCAUGUUUCCCCUGAUUGCCAAUCCUCAUCAUGAAGAUAGAUAUUGGACUGGGAGUAAAAAAAGCCAAGAGAGAUGCUCUAUCCUCAUCCAUCUGUUUGUACUUGCAGAAAUUGGAUUAUUAUUAUUAUUGUUGUUGUUAACACCUGCAUUCGCACCUGCCGCUGAUGCUGGAUUCAGAACUGAUUUUCUGUGGAUUCAGUAUCUCUCCAAGACUUUUGUUUGGCAGGAAAAACCAUCUCUUCCAAAAGCUUUAGAAGACUCUUGAUCAUAAGAAGAGGAUGGGGGAGGGGUGUGUUUUUAGAUGUAGUGCAAACCUCACAUAAUACCUUAUCUUCUGUAGCUUUAAAGGCUGUCCAUGGGGGUUGUACUUUCCAGCGAGCGAGAAAAGUGCAGCCUUUUUUCUGUCUCUCUUGGCUGCUGCUGCUGCUGCUGCGGGGGUACGUGGGCAACACAUGCAGUCACAAUAAAGCUGUGUUUUAAUCACAAAAUUCCUCCAUUCUGUUGUCCAUUCUGGGAUUCAAAUGACAGGCAGAAUCGAGAGACAGCAUCUCCUUUACUCAAUAUUAGAAACAUGGUCAAGAAAGGUCGCUGUCUCGUCUUCGACAACUGCUCUCUUUCAUAUGUGAUUCCUUAUUAACUUUAAUGUGUAAUGACGACAGAAAGGGUAGUUCUUGGCAUUUGAAAAGUUUGAUUGUAGAUUGAAAACUCAAGUAGCACGUUGCUCCCAACUUUUAAGACAUGCGCCAUGACUUUGUAUCUCAGUGACCUCUAAGGUCUUAUUUAGUGCAAUUGUCAAAACAGUCAUGUGUGGAAAUUUCUACCAAUUAUCAGUUCAUGCACAGCCAUUUCUUAAUUUUCUAUUUAGUGCCAGGGUCCUUAAUGAAAACCAUAGUCUAUAUGGUUUUUAUUCUUUUAUUCUCUUUGCAGCCGGAAUACUGUAUUUAAGCCAUGACCAUCUUGGUGACCAAAUCAGCCUGCACAUUCCUUUCUUAGGUGGCAAAUCACUGGAGAGGGUCACUAAUCCCAUAUGCAUAAAAGCUCGAGGGCUGUAAAGUCCUAGUUGAGUGGUCAACUUAUUGGCCGAUACAUGCUGAGUCGACCAAGAUUCUGAUUGGUCAACUCAAUUUUUUUCUGCAUCAAUUUACAGUCUAUGGUUAAUUUCAUCAGGAAAAACGUACCAAGUGUUAAUGGGGGUGUUGUCAGAGCACCCUCGUUUAACAAGUAACAGCCUGUCUCAGAACCUCCCCUUGUUUUCACCAUUUUGGAUUCGCCCAACCCACUGGAGACCAGCUGGAGACAGGAAGAUGAAAGAGCGUUCACGUUAUUAACGUCUGGUGGUUUGAGAAAUAUUUAUUUUUAUUGUGCGAAACUUUUUUUUUUGUUUUAUUGUUUUAUUUUAUUGUGCUUAUAUCAGUACAUUUUCACCCCGCCAAGCCACACUCCACUGAGCCACAUUGUCCCCCACUGUAGAGGGGUGUGCCGUCAGAGCAUAUAACCUUUGGAGAUGGGUUAAUGAUUAAUUAAGUUUUAGUUUUUAAUAACAGCAAACUACUGUUCAGAGAUUGUUGCAGAUUCUGACACUAGUGAGAUGGUGCCAUAUCACAGAGGAUGAAGGUCAUAUUUGAUUGUCUGUUGUGUGUAAAAAAAGAAAAGACAGUGAGUGAGAGGUGUGCUGGUUUUUCGCCAUUGUGUGAGAGAGAACUUGCAAAGCUUAAAAUGUCAGCAGCAUGGCGCAGGGACACAGACACUGAGAGCUGUUUGUCGAAUGCCAACCGCCACAGGCUGAGUGCUGUAGUGUGUGUGUGUGUGUGUGUGUGUGUGUGUGUGUGUGUGUGUGUGUGUGUGUGUGUGUGUGUGUGUUUCAUGGAGGUAGAGCAGCUGUUUAAAAGGUCAGGAUACACUCAGAGGAAGCAGCUACAAAGAUCAGAUCAGAUGAAUGGAUGCUGGGAGGAGGGACCAGGCGGAGGAGAUGAAGAGAUUAUGAGAGGAAGAGACACUUAAAAUAAUGAUGAGAUAUUGAUGCGUAAGCACUUUUAUAUUUUUCCUUCCUUUGCUAAAAAUCUUGUGAAGUUCUGUGGGUGUUUAA